AUGAUGUGGCACACCUGAGAAUUUGGGAGGAUUUUGCUGUUAGAGAAAAGGGAAGUGGAAAGAGCAUGUCUAAAGAAAAAAUAGAGAAUGAGAUUUUGCGUGUGUAUUUUAUUUAUUUAUUUUUAGUAGGCUCUGUUUAAAGUAAGGUCUAGAGAAGGCUGCUGAUGUGAGGGGCUUCUGCUAUGUGUGAGAAAGUGGUGUUUGGCACUACAUGUGGGAACGUGACUGAGCAGCAGAAGACUUCAGCACUUAUUGCCUACUGGCAGAUGCAACAUAUUCAGGUCACACGAGUUUAUUCAGCACGGAGAUGACUUUUGAGUGAGAAUGCUCAAGAAUUAGAACCAGGGAACUUCUGUGGAUUUCUUCUACCAGAAUAUGGACAUACAGACCCUGGUAGCUGAUGUAAUGACAGGCUGAACUUAGCUAAUUUAUGGAAGCGGUGUUAUGGAUGGUUCCAGGAAAGAUGUUGCCUUUUGGUAUGAUUGUUUUUCUUUUCUUGCCUGGGAGAGUCUCCAAGUGAACUGUUGAUAAUGUAACUGCUGAGAUGUGGUGCUGCUCAGUUUUCCCUGCAGGGAGAUAUGAACCUUGUUUGCUGUAUGGUGGGGAAAACUCUCAAACUCUGGGAAGCUGCUGCAGCAAAAUCCUCCUUCCUUAUGUCAGAGGAAUCCCCAUUAGAUAUAUAAAAAUGGGAGGUAUGAACCUCGCGUACUCUAUCCCCACUUCUGGAGCUAACGUCUUUUCUCUUCUUCUUAUGUGUGUGAUGUGUGCUUUGUCUUUUCUUUAAGUAGACAACGUACUUAUGGAUUUCUCCCCAAGAUUUCUUUUAGUUCAGUAAUCCUACUAAACAGUAGCUAUUUCCAUCAGCCCUUGAAAUAAACAACCAAGAUAUAAUUGGAGGUGGUAGCAUUCAGUGUUGAACUGCCUAAUGCUUUUCAACACAAGUUUUUCAGUUGCUGUUUUGCAACCCAACAGUGUCUGUUUCAGUUCAAGCUGCUAUGCCAGAUAGGAUUUCCCCUACCUUUUUUAGCCUUUCCUGCUAAAUGGGAAAACAUCUUGCUAAAAACAAAGCUAGAAUAGGUGUGCUUUCACUUGCUUGAAAACUUCAUGGAGCUCUUGCAUUACUUUGUCCAUUGUGUUUUGUAGGGAGGUGUUGUAUUGGCAAGGGAUUCUGUGAUGAAUCAGUAAAGGGUCUUUGCCCAUCUGUGAGAUUACAUACAAAUGUGGAACUCAUGUCUACCUAGGUGCCUUAGAGGUAUGGUUCUUGUAACUAUAAGACUUCCAUGAGGAAGCAUACUUGGGGGGGGGGGGGUAGGGGAAGGUAUUUUUAGAGUUUUUUACAGUGCAUUUUUCCUUUAUGUGAAGUUCUUGUCAGGUUCAAUGAGUUUUAGAGUAAUGAUCAGUGAAGAAAUAGGUGAAAGAUGUCAAUUAGGAAGUUUUGGCACUACAGGGUUUCAUAGGUGUAGUGUUGGACCAGGACUGAAGUGAGAGCCUUGUGUAACAUAACCCUAGUAAGUAAGGCCAGGAGACAGAAAAGGGAGAGAAGGAGAUCUUACUUGAAUCCUAGCUUCAAUACUUCCAGUUCCUCACUCUGGUCUCUGAGACUACAAGGUCUAAACAAAAGUCUUUGUCAUGCCACAUAGCAUAACCUUAGCAUUGCUAAUGUCAGUCUCCUUCCAUUAAAAUGUCUCAGCUUCCCCCCACCCUGCCUCAAAUCCCUUUAAAAAUAAAUAAAUAAAUAAAUAAAAUCCCUGAAAACCA